rnacentral:misc_RNA from 1 species
AACGCACCUUGCGCCCCUUGGUAUUCUGAGGGGCACGCCCGUUUGAGUGUCGUGAAUAUCCUCAACCUUUCUUGGUUUCUUAACUGAGGAAGGCUUGGACUUUGGAGGUUUUUGUUUUUUUUUUGCUGGCCUUCCUUUGAAGCCCAGCUCCUCCUAAAUGAAUCAGUGGGGUCCGCUUUGCCGAUCCUUGACGUGAUAAGUAUGCUUCUACGUCUUGGGUUUCGCACUGUUGUCUCGGAACCUGCUUCCAACCGUCUUUAAAGGAAGACAAUGUUCGAGUUACCACUCGACCUUACAAACCUUGACCUCAAAUCGGGUGAGACUACCCGCUGAACUUAA